rnacentral:tRNA from 1 species
GCUUUGGUAGUACAGCCCGGUCUAGUAUGGGUGGCUGUCGUCCGCCGACCCGAGUUCAAAUCUCGGCAGGGGGC